CGGGAGGCAGCAGUAGGGAAUCUUCCACAAUGGACGAAAGUCUGAUGGAGCAACGCCGCGUGAGUGAAGAAGGGUUUCGGCUCGUAAAACUCUGUUGUUAAAGAAGAACAUAUCUGAGAGUAACUGUUCAGAUAUUGACGGUAUUUAACCAGAAAGCCACGGCUAACUACGUGCCAGCAGCCGCGGUAAUACGUAGGUGGCAAGCGUUGUCCGGAUUUAUUGGGCGUAAAGCGAGCGCAGGCGGUUUUUUAAGUCUGAUGUGAAAGCCUUCGGCUCAACCGAAGAAGUGCAUCGGAAACUGGGAAACUUGAGUGCAGAAGAGGACAGUGGAACUCCAUGUGUAGCGGUGAAAUGCGUAGAUAUAUGGAAGAACACCAGUGGCGAAGGCGGCUGUCUGGUCUGUAACUGACGCUGAGGCUCGAAAGUAUGGGUAGCAAACAGGAUUAGAUACCCUGGUAGUCCAUACCGUAAACGAUGAAUGCUAAGUGUU
rnacentral:rRNA from 1 species